rnacentral:rRNA from 1 species
GGGGAAUUUUGCGCAAUGGGCGAAAGCCUGACGCAGCAACGCCGCGUGGGUGAUGAAGGUCUUCGGAUCGUAAAACCCUGUCGUCAGGGACGAAGGUUGCGUGUCGAAUAGAUGCGUAACUUGACGGUACCUGGAGAGGAAGCCCCGGCUAACUCUGUGCCAGCAGCCGCGGUAAUACAGAGGGGGCAAGCGUUAUUCGGAAUUAUUGGGCGUAAAGGGCGCGUAGGCGGUGCCUUAAGUGAGAUGUGUAAUCCCCGAGCUUAACUUGGGAACUGCAUCUCAGACUGGGGCGCUAGAGUACUGGAGAGGGUGGUAGAAUUCCACGUGUAGCGGUGAAAUGCGUAGAGAUGUGGAGGAAUACCGGUGGCGAAGGCGGCCCCCUGGACAAAGACUGACGCUCAGGUGCGAAAGCGUGGGGAGCAAAC